CAAGAUGAACGCUAGCGGCAGGCUUAACACAUGCAAGUCGAGGGGCAUCGGGAGGGAAGCUUGCUUUCCUUGCCGGCGACCGGCGCACGGGUGAGUAACACGUAUGCAACCUGCCCUCUUCAGGGGGACAACCUUCCGAAAGGGAGGCUAAUCCCGCGUAUAUCGGUUUCGGGCAUCCGAGAUCGAGGAAAGAUUCAUCGGAAGAGGAUGGGCAUGCGGCGCAUUAGCUAGACGGCGGGGUAACGGCCCACCGUGGCGACGAUGCGUAGGGGUUCUGAGAGGAAGGUCCCCCACACUGGUACUGAGACACGGACCAGACUCCUACGGGAGGCAGCAGUGAGGAAUAUUGGUCAAUGGGAGAGAUCCUGAACCAGCCAAGCCGCGUGAGGGAAGACGGCCCUAUGGGUUGUAAACCUCUUUUGUCGGAGAACAAAACCCGGGACGAGUCCCGGACUGCGUGUAUCCGAAGAAAAAGCAUCGGCUAACUCCGUGCCAGCAGCCGCGGUAAUACGGAGGAUGCGAGCGUUAUCCGGAUUUAUUGGGUAUAAAGGGUGCGUAGGCGGUCCGUUAAGUCAGCGGUAAAAUUGCGGGGCUCAACCCCGUCGAGCCGUUGAAACUGGCAGACUUGAGUUGGCGAGAAGUACGCGGAAUGCGCGGUGUAGCGGUGAAAUGCAUAGAUAUCGCGCAGAACUCCGAUUGCGAAGGCAGCGUACCGGCGCCAGACUGACGCUGAGGCACGAAAGCGUGGGGAUCGAACAGGAUUAGAUACCCUGGUAGUCCACGCAGUAAACGAUGAAUGAUGGUUGUCCGGGUCGAAUGAGACCUGGGCGGCGAAGCGAAAGCGAUAAGCAUUCCACCUGGGGAGUACGCCGGCAACGGUGAAACUCAAAGGAAUUGACGGGGGCCCGCACAAGCGGAGGAACAUGUGGUUUAAUUCGAUGAUACGCGAGGAACCUUACCCGGGCUCAAACGGGAGUGGAAUGGACCAGAGACGGUUCAGCCUACGGGCCGCUUCCGAGGUGCUGCAUGGUUGUCGUCAGCUCGUGCCGUGAGGUGUCGGCUUAAGUGCCAUAACGAGCGCAACCCCCGCCGGCAGUUGCUAACGGGCAAUGCCGAGGACUCUGCCGGGACUGCCGCCGCAAGGCGUGAGGAAGGCGGGGAUGACGUCAAAUCAGCACGGCCCUUACGUCCGGGGCGACACACGUGUUACAAUGGGCGGUACAGCGGGAAGCCAGGCGGUGAGAGAGAGCGGAACCCGAAAGCCGUUCUCAGUUCGGAUCGGAGUCUGCAACCC
rnacentral:rRNA from 1 species